CAGCCGCCGCGGUAACACGUAGGGUGCAAGCGUUAAUCGGAAUUACUGGGCGUAAAGCGUGCGCAGGCGGUUCUAUAAGACAGAUGUGAAAUCCCCGGGCUCAACCUGGGAACUGCAUUUGUGACUGUAGAGCUGGAGUGCGGCAGAGGGGGAUGGAAUUCCGCGUGUAGCAGUGAAAUGCGUAGAUAUGCGGAGGAACACCGAUGGCGAAGGCAAUCCCCUGGGCCUGCACUGACGCUCAUGCACGAAAGCGUGGGGAGCAAACAGGAUUAGAUACCCGUGUAGUCCCUGUCUCUUAUAC
rnacentral:rRNA from 1 species